AGUAUGUUCUUCCAGGACAGAAC
rnacentral:miRNA from 2 species